rnacentral:lncRNA from 1 species
UUUUCAAACUGUGGUUCCUGGACCCGCAGCAUCAAUAGCUCGUGGGAAUCGGUCAGAAGAGCAAAUUCUCUGACCACACCCCAGACCUACCGAAUCAGACACUCCGGAGCUGGAGCCCAGAAUCUGUGUUUAACAAGCCUUCCAGAUAAUUCUGGCCUGUAAAGUUUGAGACCACUACCAUAGCGCCUAACUGCUCCAACCAGCGGACAGUCCUGUCAUUAAGGACCAGGCAGAAUUUUAACAGAGAGAAAUUGAAUAAGGGAGAACAGGAGUAAUAAUCAAUUCCAUUCUUGUCUUAAAAGAAAUUGGAAAAUUUAUAGGUUCAAUAAUUUUUUAAAAUCCUUCUCCCAAACUCUUGGCCAGUGCCUAGAUUUUUACUUUUAAUUGUAACACCCCCCACCCCCUUGUUCAGGAAGACAGCCUUUGGUGGAUGCCCAAGAGACUGCCAUAAAGACAGCUUUCCUUGAUGAGAAGAACGUGCACAAAGUCAAAAGCCCACGUUAAGUUAAUGUGAUUUUCUAACCAGAUGAUUUAAAUGAUUCACAAAGGAGGUUUGACAAAAGUUGUCGUGGCCUCCACUUGAGCAAUGCAUUCGAAUUCCCUCGUCAAACAAAUAAAAAGGAGGGUUUUGCAAGCAAAUGCUGAUUUGUGGAUGCGCAGGGACUGCAGAGUUCAUGAGCAAGGAGGCACACCUGCGCUGGAAUUUUAACGCCUGAAAAGCCAUUUAAGGAGCAACUGAGGAGCAAUCAGUAUAACCUGAUGGGGCCCCCAAAAGUGCCAGGAGGAGGUACUUCCCAUUUCAAACAGAUCGGAUCAUCAGGCAUAGAUUGGAACCAAAUGUGAGGCCAUCCUCUCGCCUCAGGGCAGCGCUGCAUCAGCUCAGAGGCAGACACACAGUUUCAAAAUGGACUUCUUGGGGCUGGCCGGGUGGUGCAGCGGUUAAGUGCACACAUUCUGCGUUGGCAGCCUGGGGUUCGCCCGUUGGGAUCCCAGGUGCGGACAUGGCACCGCUUGACCAGCCAUGCUGUGGUCUGGCGUGGGCUGGAGAUUCUGCAUAUCUACAGGAUCCCAGUGAUGCUGCUGAGGCUGUGUCUGGGGACCCUACUUCUGGAGCACAGCACUCACCACCACCUGCCUUACCCAGUUAAUCGUGCCCCUCUUCCCCCAUCAGACUCUGAUCUCCCACAGGAUUACGAGCUGUGGCAUGGUCUUCCCUAACAUCCAUGCCUAGCAUCCUGGGCUCAGCGUAUGUGCCAAGAAACUGAUGAAAGUGAAUGGCGUUAAAUUAAAUUCGAGUAAAAACGGAUCAUUGCUACAAUUUAGCUCUGUUUUCUCCUUUCUGCCGCUGCAGAUGCACUGUUGACUCUGGAGGGAGGAGCCCAGUGUCCUCUGCUGGUUAACUAAGGAGAGGCCACGGCCAGCAGUCUUCAAGAAUCCAAAGCUUAUCUGCAGUAUUUUUAUGUACCCGAUCAAACUCUCCUUCAGGCAAAAGUA